CAUAGGUUAAUGAGGCGAACCGGGGGAACUGAAACAUCUAAGUACCCCGAGGAAAAGAAAUCAACCGAGAUUCCCCCAGUAGCGGCGAGCGAACGGGGAGGAGCCCAGAGCCUGAAUCAGUGUGUGUGUUAGUGGAAGCGUCUGGAAAGGCGCGCGAUACAGGGUGACAGCCCCGUACACAAAAAUGCACAUAUUGUGAGCUCGAUGAGUAGGGCGGGACACGUGGUAUCCUGUCUGAAUAUGGGGGGACCAUCCUCCAAGGCUAAAUACUCCUGACUGACCGAUAGUGAACCAGUACCGUGAGGGAAAGGCGAAAAGAACCCCGGCGAGGGGAGUGAAAAAGAACCUGAAACCGUGUACGUACAAGCAGUGGGAGCCUCUUUUAUGGGGUGACUGCGUACCUUUUGUAUAAUGGGUCAGCGACUUAUAUUCUGUAGCAAGGUUAACCGAAUAGGGGAGCCGAAGGGAAACCGAGUCUUAACUGGGCGUUAAGUUGCAGGGUAUAGACCCGAAACCCGGUGAUCUAGCCAUGGGCAGGUUGAAGGUUGGGUAACACUAACUGGAGGACCGAACCGACUAAUGUUGAAAAAUUAGCGGAUGACUUGUGGCUGGGGGUGAAAGGCCAAUCAAACCGGGAGAUAGCUGGUUCUCCCCGAAAGCU
rnacentral:rRNA from 1 species